AAAUUGAAGAGUUUGAUCAUGGCUCAGAUUGAACGCUGGCGGCAGGCCUAACACAUGCAAGUCGAGCGGUAGCACAGAGAGCUUGCUCUCGGGUGACGAGCGGCGGACGGGUGAGUAAUGUCUGGGAAACUGCCUGAUGGAGGGGGAUAACUACUGGAAACGGUAGCUAAUACCGCAUAACGUCGCAAGACCAAAGUGGGGGACCUUCGGGCCUCAUGCCAUCAGAUGUGCCCAGAUGGGAUUAGCUAGUAGGUGGGGUAAUGGCUCACCUAGGCGACGAUCCCUAGCUGGUCUGAGAGGAUGACCAGCCACACUGGAACUGAGACACGGUCCAGACUCCUACGGGAGGCAGCAGUGGGGAAUAUUGCACAAUGGGCGCAAGCCUGAUGCAGCCAUGCCGCGUGUGUGAAGAAGGCCUUCGGGUUGUAAAGCACUUUCAGCGGGGAGGAAGGCGUUAAGGUUAAUAACCUUGGCGAUUGACGUUACCCGCAGAAGAAGCACCGGCUAACUCCGUGCCAGCAGCCGCGGUAAUACGGAGGGUGCAAGCGUUAAUCGGAAUUACUGGGCGUAAAGCGCACGCAGGCGGUCUGUCAAGUCGGAUGUGAAAUCCCCGGGCUCAACCUGGGAACUGCAUUCGAAACUGGCAGGCUAGAGUCUUGUAGAGGGGGGUAGAAUUCCAGGUGUAGCGGUGAAAUGCGUAGAGAUCUGGAGGAAUACCGGUGGCGAAGGCGGCCCCCUGGACAAAGACUGACGCUCAGGUGCGAAAGCGUGGGGAGCAAACAGGAUUAGAUACCCUGGUAGUCCACGCCGUAAACGAUGUCGAUUUGGAGGUUGUGCCCUUGAGGCGUGGCUUCCGGAGCUAACGCGUUAAAUCGACCGCCUGGGGAGUACGGCCGCAAGGUUAAAACUCAAAUGAAUUGACGGGGGCCCGCACAAGCGGUGGAGCAUGUGGUUUAAUUCGAUGCAACGCGAAGAACCUUACCUGGUCUUGACAUCCACAGAACUUUCCAGAGAUGGAUUGGUGCCUUCGGGAACUGUGAGACAGGUGCUGCAUGGCUGUCGUCAGCUCGUGUUGUGAAAUGUUGGGUUAAGUCCCGCAACGAGCGCAACCCUUAUCCUUUGUUGCCAGCGGUUAGGCCGGGAACUCAAAGGAGACUGCCAGUGAUAAACUGGAGGAAGGUGGGGAUGACGUCAAGUCAUCAUGGCCCUUACGACCAGGGCUACACACGUGCUACAAUGGCAUAUACAAAGAGAAGCGACCUCGCGAGAGCAAGCGGACCUCAUAAAGUAUGUCGUAGUCCGGAUUGGAGUCUGCAACUCGACUCCAUGAAGUCGGAAUCGCUAGUAAUCGUAGAUCAGAAUGCUACGGUGAAUACGUUCCCGGGCCUUGUACACACCGCCCGUCACACCAUGGGAGUGGGUUGCAAAAGAAGUAGGUAGCUUAACCUUCGGGAGGGCGCUUACCACUUUGUGAUUCAUGACUGGGGUGAAGUCGUAACAAGGUAACCGUAGGGGAACCUGCGGUUGGAUCACCUCCUUA
rnacentral:rRNA from 4 species